CCCUGGGUAGUGCAACUGGUUAACGUGCUCGGCUCCUAACUGAGAGGUUGGUGGUUCGAGUUCACCCAGAGGCA
rnacentral:tRNA from 1 species